UCAUUAGAUAAUAAGUUUUGGCUAGACUUGUUUGGGUAUUAUGCAGUAUAAUAUUUAUAUUGCAAUAUUGGAUCAUGGCAGUUCUCGGGCCCGUGCAAUGGGGGCCUGUGAAUCGUGUCAGGACUGAGAGGUAGCAGCACUAAGCGGUAACCUUCAUGUGCCACGGGGACCCCGGGGGCUGUCGUGAUCGAAUAUUGCAAGG
rnacentral:SRP_RNA from 1 species